rnacentral:tRNA from 1 species
UGUGGCUUAGUGGUAGAGUGCUUACCUAGCAUGCAAGAUGUCCUGGGUUCGAAUCCUGAGCA